CCUACGGGAGGCAGCAGUAAGGAAUAUUGGUCAAUGGAGGCAACUCUGAACCAGCCAUGCCGCGUGCAGGAAGACAGCCCUCUGGGUCGUAAACUGCUUUUAUUCGGGAAUAAACCUUAUUACGUGUAAUAAGCUGAAUGUACCGAAGGAAUAAGGAUCGGCUAACUCCGUGCCAGCAGCCGCGGUAAUACGGAGGAUCCAAGCGUUAUCCGGAUUUAUUGGGUUUAAAGGGUGCGUAGGCGGCUUAUUAAGUCAGGGGUGAAAGACGGUGGCUCAACCAUCGCAGUGCCUUUGAUACUGAUGAGCUUGAAUGAACUAGAGGUAGGCGGAAUGUGACAAGUAGCGGUGAAAUGCAUAGAUAUGUCACAGAACACCGAUUGCGAAGGCAGCUUACUAUGGUUUUAUUGACGCUGAGGCACGAAAGCGUGGGGAUCAAACAGGAUUAGAUACCCUGGUAGUCCACGCCCUAAACGAUGAAUACUCGCUGUUAGCGAUAUACAAUUAGCGGCUAAGCGAAAGCGUUAAGUAUUCCACCUGGGGAGUACGCCCGCAAGGGUGAAACUCAAAGGAAUUGACGG
rnacentral:rRNA from 1 species